CCUACGGGUGGCAGCAGUGGGGAAUAUUGGGCAAUGGGCGCAAGCCUGACCCAGCAACGCCGCGUGAAGGAAGAAGGCCCUCGGGUUGUAAACUUCUUUUAUCAGGGACGAAGAAGUGACGGUACCUGAUGAAUAAGCCACGGCUAACUACGUUCCCGCAGCCGCGGUAAUACGUAGGUGGCAAGCGUUAUCCUGAUUUACUGGGUGUAAAGGGCGGUUAGGCGGGGAAUCAAGUCAGAUGUGAAAUUCCAGGGCUAAACCCUGGAACUGCAUUUGAAACUGGUUUUCUUGAGUGAUGGAGAGGCAGGCGGAAUGCCGUGUGUAGCGGUGAAAUGCGUAGAUAUACGGAGGAACACCAGUGGCGAAGGCGGCCUGCUGGACAUUAACUGACGCUGAGGCGCGAAAGCGUGGGGAGCAAACAGGAUUAGAUACCCGUGUAGUC
rnacentral:rRNA from 1 species